GAUGAACGCUGGCGGCGUGCUUAACACAUGCAAGUCGAACGGUGAAGCAGGAGCUUGCUCCUGUGGAUCAGUGGCGAACGGGUGAGUAACACGUGAGUAACCUGCCCCAGACUCUGGGAUAAGCGUUGGAAACGACGUCUAAUACCGGAUACGAGACGAGAAGGCAUCUUCAUCGUCUGGAAAGAAUUUCGGUCUGGGAUGGACUCGCGGCCUAUCAGGUAGUUGGUGAGGUAACGGCCCACCAAGCCUACGACGGGUAGCCGGGCUGAGAGGGUGACCGGCCACACUGGGACUGAGACACGGCCCAGACUCCUACGGGAGGCAGCAGUGGGGAAUAUUGCACAAUGGGCGCAAGCCUGAUGCAGCAACGCCGCGUGGGGGACGACGGCCUUCGGGUUGUAAACCUCUUUUAGCAGGGAAGAAGCGAAAGUGACGGUACCUGCAGAAAAAGCACCGGCUAACUACGUGCCAGCCGCCGCGGUAACAC
rnacentral:rRNA from 1 species